rnacentral:rRNA from 1 species
GUGGGGAAUAUUGGACAAUGGGCGCAAGCCUGAUCCAGCAAUACCGCGUGUGUGAAGAAGGCCUGAGGGUUGUAAAGCACUUUCAAUAGGGAGGAAUAGCUAUCGGCUAAUACCCGGUAGUCUGACAUUACCUAUACAAGAAGCACCGGCUAACUCCGUGCCAGCAGCCGCGGUAAUACGGAGGGUGCAAGCGUUAAUCGGAAUUACUGGGCGUAAAGCGUGCGUAGGCGGUUAUUUAAGUCAGAUGUGAAAGCCCCGGGCUUAACCUGGGAACUGCAUUUGAUACUGGGUGACUAGAGUUGAGUAGAGGAGAGGGGAAUUUCAGGUGUAGCGGUGAAAUGCGUAGAGAUCUGAAGGAACACCAGUGGCGAAGGCGCCUCUCUGGACUCAAACUGACGCUGAGGUACGAAAGCGUGGGUAGCAAACAGGAUUAGAAACCCCUGUAGUCC